rnacentral:misc_RNA from 1 species
GCAGGAACCUCUUUUUGGAGCUUCAGUGCUGAGAAAUCCAGUAUUGAGUGAAGUUGAGAAUGCCUCUCCAAUACACACGGUUAGAAAUUUCUUCUAUUUUGACAAUGUUGGAAUUAUGAAGCUAGUAGAAUAGAACUUUUGAAUCCAGGAUUUCAAAUUGAUUAUUGCAACAGUAUUCUUCCAAAUUUUAUGGAAGUUUCUUUCAAAGUACAAUGUAUUUGUUAUCUUUUGUUUUUAUCGGGUCUCCAAGAAUGUACAUUUCAAAUUGACUUAUGAUCAGGAGUUUAAAAAAGAAAAGGAUAUGGAGUUGAAGGCGAAUAAGGAUCUGAUUGAUGAUCAGGAGUCAAAGCCAGCAAAAGAUGCAGGGUGGAUGCCAAAUAAUGAUGUCAUUAAUGUUGAGGAGGUAAAAUUGGCAAAGGAUGAAGACUUGAAGCCAGAAAACGAUGCCAUUAAUGAUAAUCUGACAAAGUAUGCACAAUUCUCUCCACCAAAGAAUGAAGUGAAGAAUGCAGAAUUUGUAAAAUUAAAGGCUGUGGAGGAGCUGAA